rnacentral:snRNA from 1 species
AUCUUUGCGCAGUGGCAGUAUCCCAGAUGAUGAGGUUUAUACCGAGUCGGGAUUAUUGCUAGUUGAAAACUUUAACCAAUGCCCCGCCUAGUUAGAGUGAAAUACCUUUGACUACGGCAAUUUUUGGAGACUCGCAAGAGU